CUCAGGCUUUUCCUCUUCUCUGGUCUCUGCUUCCUCUGAUGUGUGGCAGCAGUUCAGCAGGCUGGCUAACAGCCCGUGAUGGGGUCCUGCUCAGAAGACCCCCACCUCUAUUGGGUCUCCUGGCUCCUAGGAUUCUUCAUCCUUCUAGGUGUCCGGAGCACUGGGGCCAAGGGUUCUGGAACAAAGGAUUCUGAAGCUUUUGUUUCUUUGAAGGAGAUCCAAGGAGGUUCUGUCUUGUUUCAUGUGAUCAUGAAGCCAGGAGUAGAUCCAAGAGCAGUGGUGAAGGAGAUUACAUGGAGUUUUGGUCAUUUGUCAGACUACAGAGUCAUGCUGCAUGUCUACAAUGGGACAGACUCUCCAAAAUGGGUCAGUCUCCAUGACAAGUACAAGCAGAGGAUCUAUAUGCCCAAUAUGACAACCCUGAUGAUUGAGAACCUGAACCUUGGGGACAGUGGGGAAUACCAGGCUCGCGUUACCUUACCUGAAGGAAGAGAAUAUAUUCAGACGUUCCGUCUCAUUGUCUAUGAGACCAUCCCCCUCCCUCAGGUCCUGACCAAGUAUUUGUCCACCACACAUGGCUGGUGCAAUGUCACUCUGGAGUGCAACGUCUCCGCAAGGGCUACAGAGAACCUGAAGAUUACCUGGGAGAGCAAGGGCCUCCCCAAGGACCUGGAGCAGAGAGAGACACCACGACCAGACACCAACCCCUGGACCCUGGCUGUGAGCCUGCCCCUGAGCCAGCCCCAGAGCAUACUCAGUGCCAGCAUCACCUGUGUUGUCAGCAACCCCAAGGACCAGAAAAAUGCCACCUUAGACCUGGGAGAAGUUUGUGUCCGUGUGGGGGAAAAAGAAAAUGACAAGAAUAUCUCCCUGGGAAUCAUCCUUGGGGCCUUUGUGGCUGUGCUGGUGACCCUGGGAGCUGGACUGUUCCUCUGGAAGACACGUAGGAAGAAGAAGAAGAUGGAGCCUGAAAGAGGUCCAGGUUUGCAAGAGGACUGCAGGGACAAUGAUGGUGACCUCUACUAUGCGAUGGUGAGCCAGCAGGAGUCUCUGAGGGGCAAGAAGAAGGGUAUCCGUGGGCAACAUAUGGAAGAAAAGGAGACUUUCCCUACUGUCUACAGUGAGGUCCAUAAGCCAGGCCAGGCCAUAAAUAUUUAACUAGAGGAGGCAGGAGAAUCUGGAACUCCUGGGACACCGCCACCCUGAGUCUGUCGCCAUGAAGAUACUGGCACUUCCAGCUGUGAUCCAGCUCCUGAGGCCCAUGGUCUGUGCUACCCUGACCUUCCUGACCACAGCUCCCUACGCACAUGUGACCCUGUGCCUUCCUCUGUUCACCUCUCCCCUCCAGCCUUCCCCAGGCUGCCUGAACACUCAGGAUGGUCAACCUUGUGGAGUGAGCUCCUUUUGCCAUUGACCUGGAUCCUGAAAUAUUCUCCUCUCUUCCCAAAGAGGACCGUUGCCUAGCGUGCACAUGACAAAUUUCCACAGCCUCUUCUGCAUCACUGGGAUGUGUCUUUCUGAGAACACAAGGCCAGGGCAUUCAUUUAUGAGUUAGAACACUUGACAAAGCACAAAAAAGAAAACAAAGUCCCAAUCCAGUCGUCAAAUCUGCUUGAGCAUCUCUCACUUCCUUUCUUCUGCAGCAAACUUGAUCUUGGCGAGCUGGAUGCCCAGCUUCCCAAAGAGCACAAGGAAGACAAGGCCUUUUGCUAACAUUGUUGACUGUAACGUGAGCAGGAAUUGAGUUCUUGUCCCUGUCGGGUCGGAAGCAGCGCCGGGAGUGAGAGGCUUCUGGGUGACUGGAUCCUGGGACUGACCAUGUUCCCUAAGUAAGCUGAUUCAAUGUCAGGGACUCCAGUUCACUUAAUGGGUCUGAGUAAAUUGGGACUUUGGGCUUAGAAUAAUCCCACGUGCUAUUGCCAGUGGGAGUUUCUUAGAAUCUAAGAGUGUCCAUGUUGGGAGGAAACUCAAAGAUCAUGGAGUUCUACCUCUUUUUUGUGCUGUAUAACAAUCCCAAUAAAUGACUGUGCAUCUGUGCUUACACACCUCCAGUGACAAGGAACUCACUAUGCCCCAAAGCCAUCUAUUCCAUCUUUGGACAACUCUGACUAUGAAAUGUUCUCUAACAUUGUAAGUGACUAGCUUCUCCCCCUGAAUAUUAGUUCCUAUGAGGUCAGUCAUUGCAGAUGGGAUUCCUCAUCCACUCAAUGGCCCUUCAAGUGGGAUUCAGAACAGAGGCACACAUCAGUGCCUGGUAUAGCUUUUCUCUUCCCAAAAGUCCCGAUUUUCCCCACCCUCCCUUUUCUCGGGCACAUGCCAACUUUUACUGUCUCUGGGUUUUCUUACUUGGCAUUGUCCCAAGGGCUGGAAAGGUUGGGAUAUCACAUUACUGACGAUGGUAAGAAAGAACAAUGCCCAUCCCCAAACUCCUGGGAAAGUGGUCUUCCUAGAGCAUUAACUUUCUGGACAUUUUCUUCAGUACAAUGGAAUUCUCCUAAGUGUAAGGUGGCAUUUUUCUGGUCUAUAGGGUUGCUGACCACACAAGUGAAGCUGAUAUUGGGCCUGCUCAGGUGCUGGCUCACAGGCAGACUCAGAGUCCGUGUCCAGGAGUUGGUGUCUGGUCCUAGUGUUCCUCUCUGAUCCAGGAUACUGGGGAGGCCCUUGCUCUCCCAAGUCAUGUUCAGGUUCUCUGAGGCCCCUGUGGCCCUACUCUCCAGGGUGACACUGUACCAGCCUGGUGUAAUGGAGGAUGACUUGGCCAGGAUCUGGGGGGGAGGUGGGUGGGCAGGCUCUGGUGUAGGAGGGGAUAGAAUAAUUAUUAUUGUAUUUGUACAGCACGUUACUCAUCCAUUAUCUCAUUAAUUUCAGAGCAUUGUGCUCAGAAGUUGAGGCAUUUCACAGCUGAAGAAACUAAGGGUUGGCAAGGUGAAACAGUUUUGCCAAAGUAUUAUGAUGAGAAAGUGGUACAGAAUCCCAGGUUUAGAGAAGGUUAGGUAGCCAAAGUCACUCAGUUCUGUCUACCACUUGCACCCCUGCUGGCACCACACACAGCUGAAUUCACACUAGCUGCAUACAAAGCCUGGGAUCCUCACAGUCCCCAUAGCUCUGGGAGGGGAUCAUCAACCUUUGGGAAAAUAUCUUCCAGGUACAGAAUUUGCAAAGGAGUUUCUGAAAAUGAGUUUUGAGACUCUUAACUCUUCAUCAAUACUGAAGACAUAAAAAGGUUCACAUUUGGAGAUGAGGGGGUAGAGAAUGUCUUUGGAUGGGUUCCUGUCCCUCAACUCAAGCCUGGUGAGAGCAGAUUCACUGGGACCAUUUAGAGAGUUUGAUGUGUGUUCCUACAGCUGGGGCUGGGGGUGGGCAUGUGGAGGACCAGGGCCUGGCUCACACUGAGAAAUGUAAAGGGCGAGGUGUUGCUGAAACAGCCUAAGAUGGUAGCGGAAAAGGAACUGCUACUGGUUGAAAAGAACUUGCAUUGCCAAUGAAGAGGCAAAUGUACAUGCUUUCCACGAACUAGACAUAAGACUUUCUUAAAAGGACUUUGUCAAGAGAGCCAUCUGGAAGGGCAAUAGAACCCCAAUAGAAAUAGCCUGCAUGGAAGUGGACCAGCCAAGAACCAGGGGCCAAAGAGAAAGAUGUAAGUGACCAUCCUAAGUGGGCAUUACCUGUGACAGGGCAGGUGAGAGAUCCCCAGCAUGGGAGAGGGGGAUCUCCAAAGAACCUCUGGAAAUCUCCAUGAAAGAAAGAGUCAGAUUAAACACUAUCAGGCCCAGAGACCCCAACUGCUUGAUUAGCACAACAGUACUAGUCAAAGAAGGCCUUACCUGUACCCCCCAUUCUCCCAUCCUCUUUGUGCUCCUCUCUCCCUCCCUGUCCUCAUAGAGUUGGCAGAGAGGCUUCCUGUCUGUAUGCUGUUCUCUAUAAUCCUUAUAGGCUUUUGCCAGGGAAUUUUGUCCUGGUCUUUGAGUAUCACUUUCUGCAUCUGCCGUAUCUGCCACUGAUGUAACAGGUUUUGCUUGUCUCAGGGAAGUGUGGGCAGCUGCUGGUGGUGUCCACGGCCCCUGAAACAGCCUCCAUGGUGAGGUCCAUGCACUCUGAGCCUUCCUCUUUCUGACCUGAGGUGGCUUCUGGUCCAUGGUCCUCUUAACACUUGUUUCCUCUACAGGGGCCCAUAACAACAUCUCCAUCUCCCCAAUAUCAUGCACAGACUCACGGGACUUGUAACACUUCUGGAGGCCCCUUUUCUACCUAAACACACCAUACCCCAAUUUCUACUCAGCAGGGCUCCUUUAGGGGGGACGCUCUUCUCCCAGGUAAAUUGUAAGCAGGACCUAAGCCCCUCUGCUUUUGUAUUUCCUUUCAGCUGAUCUGGAAUGUCUAUCACCUGGCUUGCUCUCCAACCUUGCUCCACAGCCCCUUCUGUUGUGACCAUUGGGAAUGGCCAUUUCAAGCCCCUUCCAAUUUUUAAUCAGCCUCAUCCUUAAUGCAUAUCUUUAAUGUUUACUUAAUUUCCCACCCCAUUUUCCAUUUCUGUAUAUCUUGAGUCAUAACUGAUAUCUUUGUAGUUUGUGAUUUGUUGAGAGAACUCUAUUCUCUGAGUCUACAAUCUCUGGUUUUGGCACACACAAAUCUCUCUCUUUUUUUCUAUCAAGAAAAUAUGCUCUUGUCUAUUUUGAAAGUCAAAAACUGAACACUGAUUUCUGCAUUCACAGCUGGGUUCUAGCCUCUGCCUGUGCAAUGGCUGUCUCAGCUCCAAGUCUUGGAGGUUUUGGGAAAAAAAGAUUUCACAGUAAUGAAAAAAAAGAAAAAAACCUAUGGAAACCUCCGGAAAAGAAGGCACUUGAGCUGACUUAGGAAGCCCCUCCUCAUACUCUAACACACUCUGAUGAUGCUUGAAAAAAAUAUAACGAAAAAAGUUUUAAAUUUGGAACUGAGAUUCAGUAGACCUUUAGUCAAAAAACAAGAAGGAACACAGUGCUAAAGGGGUCGUUUACAUCCCUAAAUGGGGAUGAAGUCUUAGCUGUGGUCUUGUGUUUGUAGGGAUGCUGCACAAAGCCAGGUAAGGGGCUGGGGUGAAUAUAGGAUGAGAACAUUUCUAUCUUCUGACCUGGGAAAUCAGCUUGCGAGGCUGCCACCUGCCCUGUACCAUGGGUAGAGUCUGUGAGAAGUCGGAAUCCUAGGCUACACUGUGCAUGGGCACGAGUGGGAAUUCUUACUACAUGCGGGAACUCCCAGCCCAGAAAUUAAUCUAAAAGUAGAUGAAGCCUACAGGGCCCUGUUGUUGUUAGCUGCCAUUAAGUCGGCCCUGACUUGUGGUGACCCCAUGCACGACGGGCUGCGAUCGUUGUGAUCCAUAGGGUUUUCAUUGAAUG